rnacentral:rRNA from 1 species
AUGGGUCAGCGACUUAUAUUCUGUAGCAAGGUUAACCGUAUAGGGGAGCCGAAGGGAAACCGAGUCUUAACUGGGCGUUAAGUUGCAGGGUAUAGACCCGAAACCCGGUGAUCUAGCCAUGGGCAGGUUGAAGGUUGGGUAACACUAACUGGAGGACCGAACCGACUAAUGUUGAAAAAUUAGCGGAUGACCUGUGGCUGGGGGUGAAAGGCCAAUCAAACCGGGAGAUAGCUGGUUCUCCCCGAAAGCUAUUUAGGUAGCGCCUCGUGAACUCAUCUUCGGGGGUAGAGCACUGUUUCGGCUAGGGGGCCAUCCCGGCUUACCAACCCGAUGCAAACUACGAAUACCGAAGAAUGUUAUCACGGGAGACACACGGCGGGUGCUAACGUCCGUCGUGAAGAGGGAAACAACCCAGACCGCCAGCUAAGGUCCCAAAGUCAUGGUUAAGUGGGAAACGAUGUGGGAAGGCACAGACAGCCAGGAUGUUGGCUUAGAAGCAGCCAUCAUUUAAAGAAAGCGUAAUAGCUCACUGGUCGAGUCGGCCUGCGCGGAAGAUGUAACGGGGCUAAACCAUGCACCGAAGCUGCGGCAGCGACACUAUGUGUUGUUGGGUAGGGGAGCGUUCUGUAAGCCGUUGAAGGUGUGCUGUGAGGCAUGCUGGAGGUAUCAGAAGUGCGAAUGCUGACAUAAGUAACGAUAAAGCGGGUGAAAAGCCCGCUCGCCGGAAGACCAAGGGUUCCUGUCCAACGUUAAUCGGGGCAGGGUGAGUCGACCCCUAAGGCGAGGCCGAAAGGCGUAGUCGAUGGGAAACAGGUUAAUAUUCCUGUACUUGGUGUUACUGCGAAGGGGGGACGGAGAAGGCUAUGUCAGCCGGGCGACGGUUGUCCCGGUUUAAGCAUGUAGGCGGAGGUUCCAGGUAAAUCCGGUACCUUUUAACGCUGAGGUGUGAUGACGAGGCACUACGGUGCUGAAGUGAUAAAUGCCCUGCUUCCAGGAAAAGCCUCUAAGCAUCAGGUAACACGAAAUCGUACCCCAAACCGACACAGGUGGUCAGGUAGAGAAUACCAAGGCGCUUGAGAGAACUCGGGUGAAGGAACUAGGCAAAAUGGUGCCGUAACUUCGGGAGAAGGCACGCUGAUGUGUAGGUGAAGCCCCUGCGGGCGGAGCUGAAAUCAGUCGAAGAUACCAGCUGGCUGCAACUGUUUAUUAAAAACACAGCACUGUGCAAACACGAAAGUGGACGUAUACGGUGUGACGCCUGCCCGGUGCCGGAAGGUUAAUUGAUGGGGUUAGCUGUAAGGCGAAGCUCUUGAUCGAAGCCCCGGUAAACGGCGGCCGUAACUAUAACGGUCCUAAGGUAGCGAAAUUCCUUGUCGGGUAAGUUCCGACCUGCACGAAUGGCGUAAUGAUGGCCAGGCUGUCUCCACCCGAGACUCAGUGAAAUUGAACUCGCUGUGAAGAUGCAGUGUACCCG